rnacentral:rRNA from 1 species
UACGGGGGGAGCAAACGUUGUUCGGAUUUACUGGGCGUAAAGGGCGCGUAGGCGGCCACCGCAAGUCGACUGUGAAAUCUCCGGGCUUAACCCGGAAAGGUCAGCCGAUACUGCGGGGCUAGAGUGCAGAAGGGGCAACUGGAAUUCUCGGUGUAGCGGUGAAAUGCGUAGAUAUCGAGAGGAACACCUGCGGCGAAGGCGGGUUGCUGGGCUGACACUGACGCUGAGGCGCGAAAGCUAGGGGAGCGAACGGG